CGGUAACCUACCCUCGGGAGGGGGAUAACCCCGGGAAACUGGGGCUAAUUCCCCAUAGGCCUGAGGUACUGGAAGGUCCUCAGGCCGAAAGGGACUUAUGUCCGCCCGAGGAUGGGCCGGCGGCCGAUUAGGUAGUUGGUGGGGUAAUGGCCCACCAAGCCGAGGAUCGGUACGGGCUGUGAGAGCAGGAGCCCGGAGAUGGACCCUGAGACAAGGGUCCAGGCCCUACGGGGCGCAGCAGGCGCGAAACCUCCGCAAUGCGGGAAACCGCGACGGGGUCAGCCGGAGUGCCGAUGCUUGCAUCGGCUGUCGGGGAGCCUAAAAAGCUCCCCAUAGCAAGGGCCGGGCAAGGCCGGUGGCAGCCGCCGCGGUAAUACCGGCGGCCCGAGUGGCGGUCACUAUUAUUGGGCUUAAAGCGUCCGUAGCCGGGUUAGGAAGUCCUCCGGGAAAUCUGGCCGCUUAACGGUCAGAAUGCCGGAGGAUACUCCCAGCCUAGGGAGCGGGAGAGGCCGAGGGUAUUCCCGGAGUAGGGGUGAAAUCCUAUAAUCCCGGGAGGACCACCUGUGGCGAAGGCGCUCGGCUGGAACGCGUCCGACGGUGAGGGACGAAGGCCAGGGGAGCAAACCGGAUUAGAUACCCGGGUAGUCCUGGCUGUAAACGAUGCGGACUUUGUGUCGGACAAGCUAUGAGCUUGUCCGGUGCCGGAGGGAAACCGUU
rnacentral:rRNA from 1 species